rnacentral:tRNA from 3 species
GAGUUGUUCGAUCAGUCGCUAGAGCCGUUGACUCUUAAUCAAUGGGGCGCAGGUUCGAACUCUGUACGACCCGCCA